CCUUCAACAACAAAAAAAAAGCAGUUAUUUUUUUUUUACCUCCUCUCGUCGGUAAAGCUUGAUUACUACAUUUCACAUCGCUCCGUCGACUGAAAGAACAAAAUGAAAAUCAGCGUCGGGUAAUCCGCCUUCGUCAGUAUUUGGAGCUAUUUCGCGUUCAUGAGUUCCAGCUGACACUGGGACGCAGAGCUUCGGAAGAGGGCGACAAGACAUCAAAUAUCGUCGAUGAUAUUGGCAGCGGCGACGAGUUCCAGAUUUUUGCCGUAGAGAGUGAAAGAAGUUUAAGGAUGAGAAUGAGGUGCUGCGCUGUUGGAAGGGACAUUGAGUUUAAAAAAAUCACUGCAAUGAUGCAACGGAGAGGGGUUCUUGUGCAGAGUUGGAAAGCCUGAAUUAAUCGGCAUGACAUGCACUUCACGUAGUGUUCUUAAGCGAUGUCUUUCGUGAGUGUUUUUUUUUCCUACCGCGCACUGUGACCUAAAAAUAGCAUCAUAGUUUGGGUCGUGCGCCAUAAAUAGACAGAUGGGUAUCACUUGUAUAAAAGGGAGGCGAUCCUGAGCUGGACGUGCCACUCUCGAACGACGACGUGCCCGUACCAUGGAGAGAAACAAUGAAAAGAGGAACAGGAGCAAAUAUGGAGAAGAGGUGUGUGCCUGGGUGAACCCUGCCCAUUGGAGCCUCCAGGUGUGCGCCACAGGGACAUAAAGAACAAACAGGGAACUAAUGAUUUGGAUAUUUUAGAACCGCACAUAGCGAGCGAGACAACGACGGACCGACCGACCUUCCUCCACCUCGUCCUCUUCCCUAACCCGAGACAGGACUUGAUUGUGAGAGGAGAGGGGGAACUAACACGCAGGAGGAGGCAGUGGGACAAACUGGUUCGACUGGGACACACCCGGCACACAGUCAUCAAAUCCCAGUGUGGGAAGAUAAAAAGGAGAAAAGGACAACAAGAGUGCAGCCUCUAAACUGUCGGACUGCGAGGAAACUACCGACAGGGGGACUCACAAAACGUCCGAUAGUAGUUGGUGUGAGUGUGUAUGAAUGUAGUGAAUUGAAUAUUGUUGGCAAAUAUUUGUGUUAAAAAAGUAGCUCCAAAUGGGAGACGGCAAGAUGAUACGCGUUUAUUAAAUUGUACUUGUAUAUAUAAUAUUAAAAGUGCAACCAGUGCUGGAAAAAGUUUAUUUAUUAAGAUUAUUUAGUGACAGACUGCAUUGUUGUAAAUACAUUUACAUACAAACAUCAUCAUAGAUGCUCCGAGAUUUGUGUAAUUAAUUUCACCCGGUUUGCAAUUGUUAAACAACAGCUGCUCCUUCCUCUCCCUCGGUCACGUUGCCUUCGAUCCUCUCCACUUGUGUCAAAAAAUGCGAGCAGCUGGACGACGGCCGUCCGCGCGUGGACACAUUUUUAUACUCUGGUCCCUCUGCUGAGCACACGACAGGCUUUUGUUUGUGCCAGAGAGCAUCCGUGUGUCCCAAUUUUAUGUUUAGUUUGUCUCAGUAUGAGAGCGAGAGUUGCGUUUGUGUGUGUGGGGGGGGGGGGGAUCUCCUUCUGGUUCGUCCUGCUGAGGAGAAAUGAGGUCGAUGUGAAACAGCCUGCCUGGCUCAUUUAUGUGCAUAAAGAUGUUAAACAAGUUCAUUAAAGCUUUGGGAAAAUCCA